CCUACGGGGUGCUGCAGUGGGGAAUAUUGCACAAUGGGGGGAACCCUGAUGCAGCGACGCCGCGUGAGUGAAGAAGUAUUUCGGUAUGUAAAGCUCUAUCAGCAGGGAAGAAAAUGACGGUACCUGACUAAGAAGCCCCGGCUAACUACGUGCCAGCAGCCGCGGUAAUACGUAGGGGGCAAGCGUUAUCCGGAUUUACUGGGUGUAAGGGGAGCGUAGACGGUUAUGCAAGUCUGAAGUGAAAGCCCAAGGCUCAACCAUGGGACUGCUUUGGAAACUGUAAAACUGGAGUGCAGGAGAGGUAAGCGGAAUUCCUAGUGUAGCGGUGAAAUGCGUAGAUAUUAGGAGGAACACUCGUGGCGAAGGCGGGUUCCUGGACAUUAACUGACGCUGAGGCACGAAGGCCAGGGGAGCGAAAGGGAUUAGAUACCCGGGUAGUC
rnacentral:rRNA from 1 species